UACGUAGGGUGCAAGCGUUAAUCGGAAUUACUGGGCGUAAAGCGUGCGCAGGCGGUUAUGUAAGACAGGUGUGAAAUCCCCGGGCUUAACCUGGGAACUGCAUUUGUGACUGCAUAGCUAGAGUACGGUAGAGGGGGAUGGAAUUCCGCGUGUAGCAGUGAAAUGCGUAGAUAUGCGGAGGAACACCGAUGGCGAAGGCAAUCCCCUGGACCUGUACUGACGCUCAUGCACGAAAGCGUGGGGGGCAAACAGG
rnacentral:rRNA from 1 species